rnacentral:tRNA from 1 species
CAGAGAAUAGUUUAUGUAAAAUAUUAAUUUUGGAGAUUAAUGAAAAAGAAAUAUCUUUUUCUCUGA